rnacentral:tRNA from 5 species
GCCUAGAUAGCUCAGUUGGUAGAGCAGCUCACUUGUAAUGAGCAGGUCGGGGGUUCAAAUCCGCCUCUAGGCUCCA